GUGCUUGCUUUGGCAGCACACGUACUAAAAUUGAAAUGAUUGAGAGAAAGUCAGUGUGGCCCCUUUGCAAGGAUGACAUGCAAAUUCACAAAGCAUUUCAUAUUUGG
ensembl:snRNA U6 U6 spliceosomal RNA